rnacentral:rRNA from 1 species
UACAGAGGUCCCAAGCGUUGUUCGGAUUCACUGGGCGUAAAGGGUGCGUAGGUGGUGAGGUAAGUCGGAUGUGAAAGCUCGGAGCUCAACUCCGAAAUGGCAUUGGAAACUACCUUGCUCGAGGGUUGGAGGGGGGACUGGAAUACUUGGUGUAGCAGUGAAAUGCGUAGAUAUCAAGUGGAACACCAGUGGCGAAGGCGGCCGCCUGGGCCUGGCCUGACGCUGAGACGCGAAAGCGUGGGGAGCAAUCCGG